UUGGAGGGCAAGUCUGGUGCCCGCAGCCGCGGUAAUUCCAGCUCCAAUAGCGUAUAUUAAAGUUGUUGCAGUUAAAAAGCUCGUAGUUGAAUUUCGGGGUUUACCCAUUGGUCAGGCUUAAUUGUCUGUACUGGUGAGAUGAAUCUCUACCUUCUGAGGAACUUUCAUGCCAUUUAUUUGGUGUGAUGGGAAAUCAGGACUGUUACUAUGAAAAAAUUAGAGUGUUUAAAGCAGGCUAACGUCUGAAUACAUUAGCAUGGAAUAAUAAAAUAGGACGGUGGUCCUGUUUUGUUGGUUUCUGAAUCACCGUAAUGAUUAAUAGGGAUAGUUGGGGGCAUUAGUAUUCAAUUGUCAGAGGUGAAAUUCUUGGAUUUAUUGAAGACUAACUUCUGCGAAAGCAUUUGCCAAGGAUGUUUUCAUUAAUCAAGAACGAAAGUUAGGGGAUCGAAGACGAUCAGAUACCGUCGUAGUCUUAACCAUAAACUAUGCCGACUAGGGAUCGGACGAAGUUAAUUUUAUAAUGACGCGUUCGGCGCCUUACGGGAAAC
rnacentral:rRNA from 1 species